UACCACGUUUAAUUAAUACAGCAAUCGCCGAAAGACGCCCAGUUCAUUUACAUUUACCAAUCGAUGUCGCAAUCUCUGAAAUUGAGAUACCGACACCAUUUGAAGUAACGGCAGCCAAAGAUACGGAUGCAUCAACAUAUAUAGAGUUAUUAACAUCUAAAUUGCAUCAAUCGAAGCAGCCUAUCAUCAUUACUGGACAUGAAAUUAACAGUUUUCACCUCCAUCAAGAAUUAGAAGAUUUUGUAAAUCAAACACAGAUACCAGUAGCACAACUUUCAUUAGGAAAAGGUGCUUUUAAUGAGGAAAAUCCAUAUUAUAUGGGUAUUUACGAUGGGAAAAUUGCCGAAGAUAAAAUACGAGAUUAUGUGGACAACAGCGAUUUAAUUUUAAAUAUUGGAGCCAAAUUAACAGAUUCAGCAACAGCAGGUUUUCAUACCAAUUCAAUAUCGAUGAUGUCGUUAUGUUAAAUCAUCACAAUAUCAAAAUUGACGAUGUUACAAAUGAUGAAAUAUCUCUACCAUCAUUGUUAAAACAGUUAUCCAAUAUUUCAUAUACGAAUAACGCAACGUUCCCUGCGUAUCAUCGUCCAACAUCACCCGAUUAUACUGUUGGCACAGAACCAUUAACACAACAAACUUAUUUUAAAAUGAUGCAAAAUUUCUUAAAACCAAAUGAUGUCAUCAUUGCUGAUCAAGGUACAUCAUUCUUUGGUGCUUAUGAUUUAGCAUUAUACAAAAACAAUACUUUUAUAGGGCAACCGUUAUGGGGUUCUAUCGGCUAUACAUUACCUGCAACAUUAGGUUCACAAUUAGCAGACAAAGAUCGUCGUAACUUAUUAUUAAUUGGUGAUGGCUCAUUGCAACUAACUGUUCAAGCUAUUUCAACUAUGAUUAGACAGCAUAUUAAACCGGUAUUAUUUGUGAUUAAUAAUGACGGCUAUACGGUAGAACGACUUAUUCACGGCAUGUAUGAACCUUAUAAUGAAAUUCACAUGUGGGAUUAUAAAGCUUUACCAGCUGUAUUUGGUGGUAAAAAUGUUGAAAUUCAUGACGUUGAAUCAUCAAAAGAUUUACAAGACACGUUUAAUGCAAUUAAUGGUCAUCCCGAUGUGAUGCAUUUUGUCGAAGUCAAAAUGUCUGUCGAAGACGCACCGAAGAAACUGAUCGAUAU
rnacentral:sRNA from 1 species